rnacentral:lncRNA from 1 species
CCUGGGAUUCAAAUGGCCUGGCAGGAAGUGCUCUAGCAGAGGGACUCUGGCCUUGCAAGAGUCCCUAUUUCCCCCUUUUUUUUUGCUUUUCACACAGUAAAACCCUGCUUUACUUCCCUUUGAGUCGUCUGUGAGCCUAAAUUUUUGUGGCUGUGGGAAGGACAAGAACCCCAUCUUUAGCUGAAAUAAGGAAAAGUUCCGCAACAUUUUUGGCACACACCCUGGGGGCUCCGGAAGUGGAAUGCUGUCGGAACUGGACCUUGAUGAAGGAAAUACUUUCUGACUCAUUGGAAUUUGUUAUAGUCAAAUUUGCCUAUGUGAUAACUUAGGUCUUCACGAUGGCCCAGAGUAAGACGACGCAGGAGGACCCUUCUAGUCAUUUAAUUAUUGCUUGACCAGAACUGUGCCUUGUAAGAAAUGCUUGCUGUUUGGAAACUUGUGAAGACCUGCAUCCCUUUGUAUCUCAAAUAAAGACAGAGGUGUUUCCAGACCUAAGAAUAACAGGAACAUGGAGGAGUGGCAUCUCCAGUGUAGCCACCCACCAAAGCCUCAUCCUGAACACUAUGGCCUAGUGGGUCACUUACAGGGAUGUAGCUGGCAUUGAUGUAGUCAGAGCAAGGAUCAUCAUCUACAUUGGAGAGCUUCACUCGCGUGGCAUCAUCUGGAAGGAGAGAUUUGCUGCUGAGUCUUGGAGUGACUUUUCUACAGUUUAUGUGAUGUGUGUGAUGUGCCUUAGCUCUGAUCCCCACAACAGCCACAGAUGGGAAGUGAUCUUAUCUCCAUUUUGCAGAUGAGGCUCAGGCAGGAUAACUAACUUGCCCCAUGUUGCAUAGGUGGCCUAUAACCAGUCAGACACAGGAGACAACAUGAAGCCCCAUCUGUGCUUCCCUUUCUGACAUUACCACAUUUGCCUGAUGGAGUGGCCAGCUCCCUUUCACUGCUGGAAUGAAUACAAUCCAGAAAACCUACCUUCUAUUGCUUUACCUAAUGGGGUAAGGAAAUUUAAGUAGAAAUUGCUAACCGAAGACUUUGCUAAGCAAACCCAGGUCUGCUUGAUGUCAGAGCCCUUGCUGUUAACCCCAUUUACUGCUUAGCCUCCAAAGAGAAGCAAUAGCAUCACAUGGGGAAAUGUCAACAGCAUAAGAGGACUUUCAUAAUCAGAAUUUAAACUGGCUAUUAUCCCUCUGGAGGGAAGUGCAGGAAUAUACAAGCUAUUUCUUAUUAAAGGCAUUCAGAGCUUGAGAUUGUCCAUAUCGAGCUAUAUUAUAUUUCUUUAGCCUCAUUUCAUUUUUGGAGAAAAAUGCAGAAAUGGCUAGAGGAAGACAGUAUUACAAAUUUUGACACAAAACUUACAGGGCAAUAUAUUGUUGUAUCGAUUUUUCCCUCUAUUCUCCGGCAAGAGUGCAAUGUCACAUGACUGGUUUCGGCCCACGUCUUUUAACUCCUGUUAGGUCAAAUAUGAGUUUGUAAGUGGAGAAUAUGAAAUAGAAUAAAGCAAAUCAUACAGUCCUGGAGAUAACAUAAUAACAUGAAAAUAUAUACACUAGCUAUUGUUUAUGAAUGCCUAGUACUCAACAUGCAUUAGCCCUGAUCCCCACAACAGCCCCACAAGGGAGGUGGUGGUCUCACUAUUUUACAGGUGAGGCUCAGUCAGGAUAACUGAUGUGCCCCAGGUCACCCAAGUGGCAAACCUGAGAAUCAGUUCCAAAAGCUACGUGCUUUUUGCGAAACCACGGCAUCUUCCAGCCAAGCAAAUGGCCAGGCUGAAUAUCUGACAGCUUUAGGUCUGCAUUUGAGAUUUGUUAAUUCUUCCUUACUAUCUGAUCCAGGUAGCCCUUGGUUUGCUGUGUUAUUCUGGAGCUCAAGCUGGCCUCUAAGAUUAGAUGGUAUAUUCUAUUCAGGGCAUAGUUUAGGCAUAAAAGAGUGCUCAGCUGAGAUUCUAA